rnacentral:rRNA from 1 species
GACGGUGGCAACGAGUCUGACCUUCUGGCCCGAAAGGGUUGGGUAAACUGGUCAAUCACCGUCAUGACAGGGAUCGGGGCUUGGAAUUGUUCCCCGUGAACGAGGAAUUCCUAGUAAGUGCAAGUCAUAAGCUUGCGCUGAUUACGUCCCUGCCCUUUGUACACACCGCCCGUCGCUACUACCGAUUGAAUGGUUUAGUAAGGUCCUUGGAUUGGCGCCAUUGAAGCCGCAAGGCUCAGGCGGUGCUGAGAAGACGACCGAAC